rnacentral:rRNA from 1 species
CCUACGGGUGGCUGCAGUAAGGAAUCUUCCACAAUGGGCGAGAGUCUGAUGGAGCAAAGCCGCGUGGGUGAAGACGGUCUUCGGAUCGUAAAACCCUUUUUUUAGAGAAGUAAAUGCGUCCGCGUAACUGUUCACGUUUCGACCAUAUCUAAACAGACAGCCACGGCUAACUACGUGCCAGCAGCAGAGAUAAUACGUCGGAGGCAAGCUUUAUCCGGUUGUAUUGAGCGUAAAGGGAGCGUAGGUGGUCUUUUAAGUCUGAUGUGAAAGUCUUCGGCUUAACCGGUAUAGUGCAUUUGAAACUGGGAGACUUGAGUGCAGAAGAGGAGGGUGGAAUUCGAUGUGUAGCGGUGAAAUGCGUAGAUAUAUGGAAGAACACCAGUGGCGAAAGCAGCUCUCUGGACUGUAACUGACGCUGAGGUUCGAAAGCGUGGGUAGCAAACAGGAUUAGAUACCCCGGUAGUC